rnacentral:rRNA from 1 species
AUUGAACGCUGGCGGCAGGCUUAACACAUGCAAGUCGAGCGGAGCGAGGGUGCUUGCACCUUAGCUUAGCGGCGGACGGGUGAGUAAUGCUUAGGAAUCUGCCUAUUAGUGGGGGACAACAUUCCGAAAGGAAUGCUAAUACCGCAUACGCCCUACGGGGGAAAGCAGGGGAUCUUCGGACCUUGCGCUAAUAGAUGAGCAUACGUCGGAUUAGCUAGUUGGUGGGGUAAAGGACUACCAAGGAGACGGUCUGGCGCAGGUCUGAGAGGAUGGUCCGCCACACUGGGACUGAGACACGGCCCAGACUCCUACGGGAGGCAGCAGUGGGGAAUAUUGGACAAUGGGCGGAAGCCUGAUCCAGCCAUGCCGCGUGUGUGAAGAAGGCCUUUUGGUUGUAAAGCACUUUAAGCGAGGAGGAGGCUACUUAGAUUAAUACUCUGGGAUAGUGGACGUUACUCGCAGAAUAAGCACCGGCUAACUCUGUGCCAGCCGCCGCCGUAAGAC